AUUGAACGCUGGCGGCAGGCCUAACACAUGCAAGUCGAGCGGAUGAAGGGAGCCUGCUCCUGGAUUCAGCGGCGGACGGGUGAGUAAUGCCUAGGAAUCUGCCUGGUAGUGGGGGAUAACGUCCGGAAACGGGCGCUAAUACCGCAUACGUCCUGAGGGAGAAAGUGGGGGAUCUUCGGACCUCACGCUAUCAGAUGAGCCUAGGUCGGAUUAGCUAGUUGGUGGGGUAAUGGCCUACCAAGGCGACGAUCCGUAACUGGUCUGAGAGGAUGAUCAGUCACACUGGAACUGAGACACGGUCCAGACUCCUACGGGAGGCAGCAGUGGGGAAUAUUGGACAAUGGGCGAAAGCCUGAUCCAGCCAUGCCGCGUGUGUGAAGAAGGUCUUCGGAUUGUAAAGCACUUUAAGUUGGGAGGAAGGGCAGUAAGUUAAUACCUUGCUGUUUUGACGUUACCAACAGAAUAAGCACCGGCUAACUUCGUG
rnacentral:rRNA from 1 species